CAGCAGGACAGUCAGUUUCCUGUGGCCAGUGAAGAAGGAAACAGGAAGUGGUCAUAAAGUUUUCUGCCGCAGGAAACAGGAAAACAGCUGAAUGUGUGACAGCUAGAAGGACAUAGUUCAGCGUUCUGCUGACGGAGUUGAAGACGAGCUGGAAGGAACCUCCUGGAUACUGAGGCCUGGGGGAGCAGGUGAUGCUGAAGUUGGAGCCCAAGAGGACCUGAACCUUCUGCUGCUGGACUUCAUCAUCGGACGGAGACACGGAUUGAACCAGCAGAUCUGGAAACAGAGUAACGCUGCUGAGGUCUGAUCACCAUGUCAUGAUCAUCACACUUGACCCACAGAGCAGUGAUGGAGGACCUGCACCACCUCCAUCUGAAGCCUUCAGACAUGAAGAUCAUCUUUUCUGGUACCAAGGCAGGUAUCAAUCCAGUGAAGGCCGACAGGUUUGAACACCUGUCAUUAAGACGGUUCAGUGGAUUGUUGGCUCCACACUCCAAAAACUGUGUGACAUCUACCCAAGCUGAUUCCACAAACAAGCCAUGAACAUCAAAAGAGAUCCCUCUAACCCCGUUCACCCGCUCCUCAGGCAGAUUUAGAACCAUCCACACUCAGUCAAACAGACUGAGGAACAACUUAUUCCCCAGAGCUCUGGCCAGUCUGAACUCAUAAUCCAUAAUAAUGCACUCAACACCUUUAAAACGUGCAGUAAUUGAUCAAUUGACACUUUAUAAAAGGACUGUACUUUUCAUUCCGUCUUUGUCUCUAUUUGUGUACAUACUUCCAUGUGUAAUUUAUUUUAUUUUCAGGGCUUAAAGUUUUCCGGCGCCGCGCCGGAUUUCCGGCGCAUGGAAAUGUACCAUUGAAAAAAUUUCAUCCAUCUCCGUCCUGAAGGCUCCAAGCAUGUGCGUCAUUGUGCAUUCAGUUGCUCCGCUUUAAUCAAUCAAACUCCAAAUCCUACAUUAAAAAAUAUACACCUUCUGUCCAGGCAUGCGGCUUUCUGAUAGAACUUUUAUACAAUUACAGUUCUCUAACUGCGAGUGCGCAUCGACUGCUGGGCGCACGAUAUGCUGCGCCCUCUUGGUUCGGCAUCGUCAGUGCUGCUGAGCCACUGAUAAGAAAUAACAGUAUCCCACAAACAAAAUCCAAAUUUGCAAAAUUUGUUGGUGUUUUUGUAAUUAUAUUUAAAGGGAAUUACUGGAAACACAUUGAUAUAUAUUGCAUAUUAUUUAUUUUAUUUCUGCUUGGACUGUAUACCCAUUCCACGUGUCCCAGCCCUGUGGCUGCCUGGUCUCUCCAGAGCGCACGGAGCUCCAAUCUGUGAGUGGUGCGGUGAAGAAUCGAGCAGCUGAUCACUGGUCAAUAGCGUUGGAGCUUGUGUUUAGCCCAAAGACGCAGAUACUAAAGUUUGCUCAGACUUUGUGUGACAGAGGAGAGAGGAUGUGUCUCUGCUGAUUAACAAAGAGAGCAGCCGCUGCCGCGAUCCCUGAACCGCGGUGUGUUGACUCGCCCCAUUGGCGUAAGUGCGUCAGUGGCGAUGCGCGUGCAUGUCCCACAAUCCCCAUGGUUUCGCCACAAAAUAAAAACAAACGGGCUUAUGUAUUGAAUUUAAAAAAGUAACAAAAACACAAGUUGUUGAUUUUGUUUGAUUUCUUAAACUUUAAACAUUUUCUAUGUGUUUUACAACGGCAAAAGGAAAAAAGGAAAUGGCUAUUUAGUUUGCUGGCUUUUAUUUUGAAAGGAAAAAAAAUCAAACAUCAAGCCAUACGGAUUUGUCCCAUUAUUCUACUCAGAACAUCUGUUUAGUUAAAUAUGCACAAACUGAAUGUAGCUUAGGUGAUAUUAACCUUUUUUAUUUGAGGACAUAUAGGAUGUCUGUAAUAAUGAGUUAAAUAGCUCUCAGCAGAUUUUCUGACCUUAUGCAUCCGAACGAUAUCUAGCCACAAACAAAAACUCUCCAAUCUUAAGCAAAUAUUGUUAGUAAGAACAGAAUGAACGUAUGGGUUGUGUGAAAUGAAUAAUGGAUAGGUAGUUAAAUAAGAAUGUUCUUAGGCUGCUUUCACCGUUUUUUUCUUCCCAAAAUAUAGAUAAAAAAAUAGAAACAUUUAAAUUGAAAGCCAACUGAACAAAUUAUACAGUGAAUACAUUUUUUCCCUUAUCAAAAACAAACAAAAUGUGUGUCAGUUCAAGUUGAAAAUCAAAUGAUUUAAACUAAUCACACAGAUUAUUGAGGUUUAUCAAAUGAGCAGUUACUAACAUGCGUAUAUGUGGUUAUGUGCUACAGAGGGCUUCUUAAUCAGAUCUUUGUGAGAAAUGGGCUGACUCCAGAGGAAAAGGUCAGAGUAGAAGUUCUUCAGCAUGAGCAGUUCAUUGCCGCCAGGACCCAGAUAAACCAGAUCAGGAAGGCCCGAAUUUCUUUGCUAGUUACAGAGUUUGAGAGAGUCAGCAUCAUGAUCAACUUACUUAUAUUGUGAGGCAAUCACUAAAAUUGCAUUAAAGAGUUAAUACUAGUACUUUUAUUACCUGAUUAAAUACAAAGUUGGUAUAGCAAGUGACAUAUGACAGUUUAUUCUCUUGUAGUGUUCCAGAGAAUAUUAAACAAGUUAAUUCUGUUGUCUGUGUUUUACAGUUUAUUUCAACAAACAACAUUUUGAACGUGUUAAAAAGAAAAUGUUCAGAAAAUUCACAAACAAAGCAAAAACGAAAAAAGAAAUGACUUUUUCAAACAGUAUUCUCCAAGCACUUAAUAUUCUCUUGAGACUGACACUUGAGAUAAUGUUGUAAGUAAAAAUCGUGCCGUAUGAAGGAAAGCAGCAUAGUUUUGUAGCAGUUUUGUUGUGGUUGGUGUUGUUUUGAGUUCUUGUUAAAUCUACUGAAGAGAUAAAAAUUAUUUAAAGUUAUUAAUAAUACAUGUACUUGGUUUUCAUGAUUUUUCCCCUUUACACUAAAAUAAGUCUUUGCAAUUAUAGUGAUGUGGUAUUGAAACAUCAACACAAAAAAAAUCUGACUUGGGGCACUUUCUAAAAUGCCUUAAGUUUUGGCCGAGUAAGGUUUUACAUUUGAGCAACAAUAAAAUAGUGGGAUCAUAAUGGGCAUUAUUUCCACCAGAUGACCUCAUAUUUGCUCUGAAUUAAUAGAAUCUCAUAUAUAUUGUGUUUUAGUGCGUUUUAAAACACAUUUAAAUACGUUUAUUGACACUAUAAAUUGGAUCUUAGAAGUUCAGGCUCAGGAUUUUUUCUCACUUUAAGCCCUGUAUUUUUAUACAUAUAUAUCCUAUAUUGUGAUUUCCAGUGACCACUACAACUCAUGCUGCUACUGUAAGAGACUGCCAAAAGAAUUUCAUUGUAUGUCCACGUACAUUGAUAAUAAAGAUCUUAUCUUAAUCAA